UACGUAGGGGGCAAGCGUUGUCUGGAAUCAUUGGGCGUAAAGAGCGUGUAGGCGGCUCGGUAAGUCCGCUGUGAAAGUCCAGGGCUCAACCCUGGAAUGCCGGUGGAAACUGUCGAGCUAGAGUCCGGAAGAGGCGAGUGGAAUUCCUGGUGUAGCGGUGAAAUGCGCAGAUAUCAGGAGGAACACCAAUGGCGAAGGCAGCUCGCUGGGACGGUACUGACGCUGAGACGCGAAAGCGUGGGGAGCAAACAGG
rnacentral:rRNA from 1 species